rnacentral:lncRNA from 1 species
ACUCUUCAAUCCAAGUUGCCAACCCUCCCUCAGUUGCGAGCACCUCUCUCCCCGCAACCUCUCCCUCCCUCGACAACACCACCUGAUGAUUGACUCGUCACCUAUUGUUUAGUCCAUGCAACUUCAGGGCAGGAGCUCACUCACUCUGCGAGGCGACUCACUUGGGAGCAAGCGGAACAACAGCGACAAGAGUGCGACUAUGGCGGAGGGAGGAGGAGGACAAAGCUUGGCAGCGGCUGCGGCGGAGUAGGCUGCCCACUUCUGUAGUAGCCUUUUCCUCUCAAACCCUUCCUCCCUCUUCCGCCUUCAUCCUCCGCUCUGUGGAACACAGGAACCCAUCUUCAUCGUCCUUAAUUCAUCCGUUAUUCAUCCAUACACGUCGUUUCAUCCUUUCUGCGACCGCGCCUGCACUCAUAGUGCUCCUCAUCCAUCCACCCUCAUCCGUCGGUCGAUCUUUCUGUCCAGCCCCAGGCUGACUUAUGG